GAUGAACGCUGGCGGCGUGCCUAAUACAUGCAAGUCGAGCGAACGGACGAGAAGCUUGCUUCUCUGAUGUUAGCGGCGGACGGGUGAGUAACACGUGGAUAACCUACCUAUAAGACUGGGAUAACUUCGGGAAACCGGAGCUAAUACCGGAUGAUAUUUUGAACCGCAUGGUUCAAAAGUGAAAGACGGUCUUGCUGUCACUUAUAGAUGGAUCCGCGCUGCAUUAGCUAGUUGGUAAGGUAACGGCUUACCAAGGCAACGAUGCAUAGCCGACCUGAGAGAGUGAUCGGCCACACUGGAACUGAGACACGGUCCAGAAUACUACGGGAAGCAGCAGUAGGGAAUCUACCGCAAUGGGCGAAAGACUGACGGAGCAACGCCGCGUGAGUAAUGAAGGUCUUCGGAUCGUAAAACUCUGUUAAUAAGGAAGAACAUAUGUGUGAGUAAAUGUGCACAUCUUGAAGGUACCAAAUCGGAAGACCACGGCUAACUACGUG
rnacentral:rRNA from 1 species